UAUGAAUAUAGCUCAGUUGGUAGAGUGCUUGCCUCGUAGCACAAAGCUCUGGGUUUGAUCCCCAGCAUCACAA
rnacentral:tRNA from 1 species